ACAAACUUGGUCAUUUAGAGGAAGUAAAAGUCGUAACAAGGUUUCCGUAGGUGAACCUGCGGAAGGAUCAUUACUGAAUAAAGCGUGGUUGGGGGUUGUGGCUGGCAUCCUCACGGUUGCAUGUGCACACCUCGGCCACUCUGUCAUUCAAUUCCACCUGUGCACUCCCUUGUAGGCCAGAUUGCCAUUUCAAAAUGCUGGUGUUCAGAACUCCUCUGAGCACACUUUGUAUUUUUGGUUUGGGACUUGCCGUUGCAGCUAUGCAUUGCGACGGCUCCUCUCGUACGUGGCCGAUCUGGUCUAUGCACCUUUACCAAAACCCUCUCAUGUUUUGCAUGUAGGAUCAAGCUUUUUAAAAGCAAUUGUAUGCACAACUUUCAACAACGGAUCUCUUGGCUCUCGCAUCGAUGAAGAACGCAGC
rnacentral:misc_RNA from 1 species